CACCUCUUGUAGCCCAUAAGAGGCCCAGCCUGCCCAGUGACUCUGUUCAACGGCCGCGGUAUCCUAACCGUGCUAAGGUAGCGUAAUCACUUGUUUUCUAAAUAAAGACUAGUAUGAAAGGCACCACGAGGAUUAAGCUGUCUCCUCUCUCUAAUCAGUGAACCUAAUCUCCCCGUGAAGAAGCGGGGAUAACUUUAUAAGACGAGAAGACCCUAUGGAGCUUCAAACAUUAUUACAUUGCCCGCAUCUACACUAUUAAAUACCCCCCCCGGGCACAUUGAUUUUAUGUUUUCGGUUGGGGUGACCGCGGAGAAUAAAAUAUCCUCCACGAUGAAAAGACUCUGUUCUUAAACAAUAAGCCACAGCUUUAACAAUCAAAAAAUUGACAUACAUUGACCCAAUAUAUUGACCAACGAACCAAGUUACCCUAGGGAUAACAGCGCAAUCCACUUCAAGAGCCCCUAUCGACAAGUGGGCUUACGACCUCGAUGUUGGAUCAGGGUAUCCCAGUGGUGCAGCCGCUACUAAAGGUUCGUUUGUUCAACGAUUAAAACCCC
rnacentral:rRNA from 1 species